rnacentral:rRNA from 1 species
GAUGAACGCUGGCGGCGUGCCUAAUACAUGCAAGUCGAGCGAACAGACGAGGAUCUUUCUCCUCUGACGUUAGCGGCGGACGGGUGAGUAACACGUGGAUAACCUACCUAUAAGACUGGGAUAACUUCGGGAAACCGGAUCUAAUACCGGAUAAUAUAUUGAACCGCAUGGUUCAAUAGUGAAAGACGGUUUUGCUGUCACUUAUAGAUGGAUCCGCGCCGCAUUAGCUAGUUGGUAAGGUAACGGCUUACCAAGGCAACGAUGCGUAGCCGACCUGAGAGGGUGAUCGGCCACACUGGAACUGAGACACGGUCCAGACUCCUACGGGAGGCAGCAGUAGGGAAUAUUCCGCAAUGGGCGAAAGCUUGACGGAGCAACGCCGCGUGAGUGAUGAAGGUCUUCGGAUCGUAAAACUCUGUUAUUAGGGAAGAACAACUGUGUAAGUAACUAUGCACGUCUUGACGGUACCUAAUCAGAAAGCAACGGCUAACUACGUG